GGGAUGUGAUUUUAAUAGCUUCUUAGGAGAAUGACUU
rnacentral:misc_RNA from 1 species